rnacentral:rRNA from 1 species
AUUGAACGCUGGCGGCAUGCCUUACACAUGCAAGUCGAACGGCAGCGGACCUUCGGGUGCCGGCGAGUGGCGAGCGGGUGAGUAAUAUAUCAGAACGUACCUUUCAGUGGGGGAUAACGUAGCGAAAGUUACGCUAAUACCGCAUAUUCUGUGAGCAGGAAAGCAGGGGAUCGCAAGACCUUGCGCUGAUUGAGCGGCCGAUAUCAGAUUAGCUAGUUGGUGAGGUAAAGGCUCACCAAGGCGACGAUCUGUAGCGGGUCUGAGAGGAUGAUCCGCCACACUGGAACUGAGACACGGUCCAGACUCCUACGGGAGGCAGCAGUGGGGAAUUUUGGACAAUGGGCGCAAGCCUGAUCCAGCCAUGCCGCGUGAGUGAAGAAGGCCUCGGUUGU